CAGAUCAAUCUUUCAACACCACACUCUGCUGGCCAGUCCCAACAACAGGUCUGCCCUUCCUGCAUACCCGAUGUGACAUAAUGUGCUGCAGAGGGAUUCUAUUCCCCAAGGUACCCCACCCUUUCCAGUGCUUCAGGGCCCAAAUACUCAGCACACAUGCCUGUGACCGGCCCCCAAGCUUAGGCACUUCCCACCCCAGAGAAAACUCGCUGCUGGUUCGGAUUCUGGAGCGAGUGCCAGGGUGGCUCAAUGCCAGCAAUAAAGGCCAGUGACAUAAGCCGGAAGGUUGGUUCUGUGGCCUUGAAACCUUACCCCUCUACCCACCCAACAUAAGGUGUUUUGCCAGCAGAAAAUGUCAAGCCAUUAACUUCAGACCCUGGGACAGAGAGACAUGCAGCAGCCAUGUUUGCUAGCGCCAUCGCUCCCUGCAGUGCUUCAGAGCACCCAUGCUGUACACCCAGCUCAUGUAAAAUCGGUGGACCCUGCCCCCCACAGCUUUUCCCCCAGUCGGUGAUGAGAUCUGCCAUGCACAGCUCUCCAGAGGAGUUGCUUUCUGACUGGCUGGAUUUUGGGUCUAGUCCCAACACAUCAGUGGACCUACUGGUCCCAUUCAGAGUCAAGAGGCCAUUCCAACAGCUGGCUCCAUCCUGCCCAUGGACAGCUCCUGAAGCUCUACUCCCUGCUUGCUGAGGGCACCAUGGACGAGGGCAGCCAGAGGUCCGUGCUCCCAGAACGACCCCAGCCAGCAGCCUCAGCUGCAAGAUCACCAGGGACUGCUCCUUAGGCAACUCCCAACGCUGAGCACCACAAAUGGCCCUGCAGGACAAGGGCAAACAACUCCCGGAGGGAUACACCAAUCAAAGGGGAAAGGAUCAGGAAGCUGGGGGGGCUGGAGUGGUGUUGAGCAGUGCCAAGUACUCCCCCAUCACCCUUCCUGUUUCCUACUGGUUUGAGAUUAAUGCUUUGUAACCUUGUUUGGUACUCCCAGGAGAAAUCCCCUUCUGAGGCUCUCUGCACUAAUGUUUAUCCACUAACUGCUCUUAUCUCUGCAACUGUUGCAUUAGAUUUUUCAUAGCACGGCAGCAUCCUGUGGAUUUUUCCAACCGUUUCUCCAGCAGCGCUGACGGCAGCCUGGCAAAUGCUUGGCCUGCGGUGGGAGCACAGCUUGCGAGGAUGAAGCCAGGAGGCCAAGCGCAUCGGCACUGCCGUAUGCAGUGCCCAUGGAAUCACUCCACACUCUUGUUUCUACAGUCUGCAACAAAAUUGUACAAGUCGAGCAGGUGACAAGACGUGCUGGAGGGCUGUUCCCCCUAGGGUGAUCAGAUGUCCCGAUUUUUGGGUCUUCUUAUAUAGGCUCCUAUUACUCCCCACCCCCUGUCCCGAUUUUUCACACUUGUCUGGUCACUCUAGUUCCCCCACCUGUUAUUCUGGCAACAGACAAGAGUUGAGUCUCUGUAAGCUGGGUGGUGUAACCAGAGUGGCGGUAACAAUAUCUUUUUGCUUUAUUGCUGAUCAAGUGACUGAGAGCUAUGUUGGUAUGUUUGUUUGAAUAUACCAUGGUCUGAAUUCUGUAAACACCAAAGGCACCACCCCAAAGAACUGCUGCUCCCCCAGCCACCUCAGAUUCUUGUGGAGGUCAGACUCCCAUCAGGAGUCCCAGCAAGUUUGAGGAACAGCUCUGGCACUUCAUGAUUCGGCUGUGUGCAGGGUGGCGUGAGCUCAAAAGUAAAUAAAAGGGAGCACUAGUUUUACCUACUAAAUUCUAACUCCUUUCCCCUACUGCCAAUUAACUGCAGCCCCUCCUCCUGUAUUUCCUCCCACAAAUCUGAGAUUUAAGGCAUUCAGCACAGCCUCCUACAGGUCUCAUUGUUCAAGAGUGAUAAAUGAGCAUGUCCCCUGUUGUGGCAGGACAGAUGGAAGAGGCCUAGAAUGGGGCAAUGAGGGUGACUGGAGGUUUAGCCUGAAAAGGUUAUGGCACUUGUUUACAGGGUACCACUCUCAAGGUGUAAAGAACGCUCAGAGAGAGGAGAAGACAUUUCCCAGGCUGAAAUAAUCGAAGGAAGACUACAUAGAAGCACAGAAUUUCUGGUUUCAGUUUAUUUUCAGAAUUUUACUGUACAAAGUAUCCAAAGUGUAAAAUGGUUUCAUGUUUCAGUUCAAAACCAAAACCAUCCAGCUUUAACUUAAGAGAACCCAGCUUGGAACAGAACAAUUCACUCUGCUAGACACACAGUGCAUGAACAUCACAGACACCGGGAGUUUGCUACUCAAGUUCACAACUGGUGGGAGGGGGGAAACAAAAACAGAUUUCAGAACUUAUUUCAGACCACGUAUCACUGCAGUUAAAGCCACAUGUGCAGCAAGAGGCUGGUUAGUGUCUAUUCAUUAGAAAAUCUCAGCAGAACUCACCUUACUGUAGGCAGUUUGUGUAGAAAAAGGUAUUACGCUGUACAUUACACAGUGGUCAGAAGAGUUGUGUGGGAGCCAGGAGAUCCUGGUCCCUGGUACACAGUAACAUUGUAUUCAUUACAAGAUACAGGCACAGAGGAGUGUAAGAAUCCUUCACAGAUCUCUAUGCAGGCAGCGAACCACAGCAAAAUGAACACACACGUGUGUGUGUGGCUCCCAAGUGAAUUAGUGCUGGUGAAAGGUGUCAGAUCAACAGGCCUAGAGAAUUCAGUCCUCUCUAUGUACAGGACAGGCACGGGUGGCAGAGGCACAACGCUUCCCCUACACACUGCCCUGCCAUGUGGGGUGAAACUUCUGUCUCUAUUAACUGGCCCCUCUCUCAGAGAGGCCAUACUCGUGGCAGUCAUGCUGCUGGGGAGACUUGGCCCAAGAAGAACCAAACAGAUCAACACAGAAGUUGCACAGGUUACUGACCACCUGUCAGACAGUAACUUUUGGUCAUCAUCUUUAAUGGAGUCAGCGCCAGCCAAUGGGAGGCGAAAGGAUCUGUGUAUCCAUCCCAUUGCCACACAGCCCUGACAGAAGUAAUUUUAUGACUCAGUCCCAAGAGCGCUUCAUUCUCCAUACAGUCCUAGUGGGCAUUACUGAACAACCACCCCUGGCUUCAGACAUUAGAUAGGAAUAACGCACACACCUACUAAGAGACUGCACGUACAAAUCAAGCUGAAUAUGAAAACAACAGACAUCUGGACGUUCAUUUCCUAUUCAUCUAAAUGUCCAUUGUGUGGCAGACUGAAAACUUAAGGACAUUUUGAAGAUAAAGUCUGGAGCCAGAAUACAGUUCUCCCCAAUGACCCAAAGUCAGUUUUAUUUAUAUUUUUUAAGAGGGGAGGCCAGAUUUGCAGGCUUUUUUAAUGUGAUAGCUAUGUUAGCUUAAUUGCCUCGAAUAAGUCUUCCUAUGAAGCGGGGCAAACAAGUUUGUGAUCUUUCAGGCUUCUUUAUCCUUACUGUUUAAAUAAAUUUAUGCCAAUAAGACUUUAAAGCAGUCCCUGGGGCUAAAUGGAAUUGCCAGUUUUUAAGAAACUGGUAGUGGUGUGAUUUUCUAGGAUUUUUAGUGGAGUACAUGGCGGUAGGGGAGGGAAUAGAAGUGUUUCCUGUAGCUGAGAGGCAAGACUGGGAUUAGGAUGGGAUCCACCCAAGAGCCCCGCCUUAUCAUGAGUUCCAGCCUGUGCUCCUGAUGACAUCCAUCUUGGCUGCUACUAGUUCUUCACCAGGCUCUUGGCCUGAGAAACAGAGACCAGGGAGAUGGGAGUGGAGGCUGGAGCAACAGAGGAGGGAGAGUGCGUGUUCUUGGCAAAUGGGUCAUCAGAGGCAGUGAGCCCAGCAGAGGGGGUGGGGAGAGGGAAGAGGAUAGGAGAAGCCAUGGGCAGAGGUGCUGAAAGCUAGUUUACAUUUAUCACCACUGCCCCAUCCAAAGACACUAAUGACUUAUGUUAUUCCUCUGCUAUGGAGGAACGGGGGCUGCUGUCAUGGCGUAUGCUAGAUCAGACCCUGCUCUGCAAGAGUUGUGUCAUGUCACCCUUUGGCUCUGCUUGUUGCCUCUAUUCUCAAUCAAUCCUGCCCCCAAGGGGAGUGAGAUUACCAGCAGCCACUCUAGCCCCCUAGCAGCAAGGGUUGGUUGGGGACCAUAUCUUCUCCCUCUGCCCCACGUAGGGUGGGAGUGCUAUUACCAAUCACCUUGCUCUAGGUCCAUUCCAAUUCCAUUCCUUCCUCGCCCUGCAGAGCAGAGGGGCAGCGUGCUGAACCCACAUGCAGUGGUGAGAAGAGAGUAGUGCCUCAGCUGUGUUUCUGGUGGGCUGUUCAGUUCAUACACUGCCUUUCCCCAUGCUACAGCCCCCGUUAUGGGACAGGCAAGAACCAGGAGACAAGCAUCUGCCCCUUGGAUCCCACAAGGGGCCAAGGACCCUAACGUUUUCAAUAUCCAUCCACUCCACUCUACAAACACCACAUAUCACUUUACUACAGAAAAGUCACCUCAACAAUCUCCAUGGGUCUCAAACUGAUCACAGCAGCUUUGCUUGAAUCUACUUGGGAGGUGCCCUGCUAGACCCAUCCAGGCUUUAGGAUUUGCACCAUGCUGCUGACUGAGAGCAAAGACGCGAAAUAGUGUCUCUGGCAGUCCAAGCUACAUAGUGGGGAGUAGGGGAAAUAGCAGGGAGCAAGGAGAUCGCUCGCCCCUGAGCAACCAGGAGACCCAGCUCCCUAGGGAAAGGCUCAGCCUUAUAUGGACUUCUCCUGACAUUGUUCAAUAGGGAUUUUCCUCAGUCCUUUAGCUUACAGUCAAAGGCUGGGGUUCUUAAACACUUCAAAGUAGCUUUCUAUUCAUUUAAGAACUUUCCAAUAAAAGAGAGGAGAAAAGGAGAGGCAGGUCAGAAUGAAACAGCCCCCUCCAGAGCAAACCCUACAAGCCUUCAUUGCACUGUGCUUCCCGUAAAGCAAAGACUGUGGGAUUGGGUUGGAAACGCUGACACUACCUUGCUGUCCCCCACACCUGAUUCUCAUCCACAAACAGACUAUAAAUGGCAAGUGAAAUAGGCCAGUUUAGUUUCACUGUUCAAUUCUUUAUUAGAAGACAGUUUGUGCUUCGAUAGCAAAUCUCAAGUCACUUCACAAAGGUUACGUUUAGCCUCACAACAUCCCUGUGAGCUAAAUAUCAUCACAGUUCCCCCUUUUGCAAAAGGAGAGAUAAAGGCCCAGAGAAGUGAAGUAACUUUCCUAAGGUCUCACGGUGAUUCUCAUGGCAAAGCAGGGCAUAGAACCCAAGAGUCCUGGCACCCCGUCCCCUAUUCCAACCAAUAACCUCUCCUUCCAUGUUCAGCAAAGUGAAGAAAGGGGAAUGACCUUGUCUCUCUCAUUUGGGUUUAGACAUCUCAGGCAUUAGCAGUAACAAAGUUAAGGGCAUUCCAUUUAAAGGAGGUUUAUGCUAACAGCGUGCCUUUUAGUGACAGACAGAAAUGGUGGCACUUCUAACUGCAGCAGGUAGGUUAUGUAGCAGCUAUGAAGACACUUGGCUUCUAUUUGGUUUUAUGUUAAAUCCUUACAAGCAUUUAAAAACAGAAAGAUAUGUUUCCUGAGCAAAGUGACUGUCAAACAACUCCCAGUUCUGAGGUGGUACGGCAGAAAUCAUGAAAGGAGGAAAUUUAUACUGGGUGCUUUUGUUCUAAAUUCACAUGUCUAAGCCAACUGAGCCAGAGUUGGGGCUCUGAAUUCAGACAGCCAGUUCAACCUUGAUCACAGCUUUAUCCAAUUACCCCCACGGUCCCUGCCCCACAGCCCGACAGAGUCUCUUCUCCAGUUGCAUUUGUUAUCCAAAGGUUGAAGAAACUCACUUUUUAUGACACAUCAUGCAUAGCACUAUGUGACUUUCAUUU